GUGGGUAUAGUUUAACGAAAAUGUUAGAUUGUGAUUCUAAAAAUAGGGGUUAAAGUCCCCUUACUCACC
rnacentral:tRNA from 1 species